rnacentral:misc_RNA from 1 species
GAAGAGGAAAGUUGAUGGAAGUAGCAUGUAGUAUGAUGGGGUCAUUUUGUCAUUAAAAUUCAAGAUCAAGAAAUUGAAUUAUUAAGAUUGGUAAUUCAAUUAGGAUUUGUGGAGAAGAGGAAAAAAAAAAUAAAAAAGCUACAAAAUUUUCUGAAUAAAUGGCAAAUUUUUAAUAUUUUUUUUCUAGGAGAGCCUUGUAAAAUUUAGGGAAGGAGAAAAAAAAAAUG